AUAAGCGGAGGAAAAGAAACCAACAGGGAUUGCCCUAGUAACGGCGAGUGAAGCGGCAACAGCUCAAAUUUGAAAUCUGGCUCUCGGGCCCGAGUUGUAAUUUGUAGAGGAUACUUUUGAUGCGGUGCCUUCCGAGUUCCCUGGAACGGGACGCCAUAGAGGGUGAGAGCCCCGUCUGGUUGGAUGCCAAAUCUCUGUAAAGUUCCUUCAACGAGUCGAGUAGUUUGGGAAUGCUGCUCUAAAUGGGAGGUAUAUGUCUUCUAAAGCUAAAUACCGGCCAGAGACCGAUAGCGCACAAGUAGAGUGAUCGAAAGAUGAAAAGCACUUUGAAAAGAGAGUUAAAAAGUACGUGAAAUUGUUGAAAGGGAAGCGUUUAUGACCAGACUUGGGCUUGGUUAAUCAUCUGGGGUUCUCCCCAGUGCACUUUUCCAGUCCAGGCCAGCAUCAGUUUUCCCCGGGGGAUAAAGACGGCGGGAAUGUGGCUCUCUUCGGGGAGUGUUAUAGCCCACCGUGUAAUACCCUGGGGGGGACUGAGGUUCGCGCAUCUGCAAGGAUGCUGGCGUAAUGGUCAUCAACGACCCGUCUUGAAACACGGACCAAGGAGUCGUCUUCGUAUGCGAGUGUUCGGGUGUCAAACCCCUACGCGUAAUGAAAGUGAACGCAGGUGAGAGCUUCGGCGCAUCAUCGACCGAUCCUGAUGUUCUCGGAUGGAUUUGAGUAAGAGCAUACGGGGCCGGACCCGAAAGAAGGUGAACUAUGCCUGUAUAGGGUGAAGCCAGAGGAAACUCUGGUGGAGGCUCGCAGCGGUUCUGACGUGCAAAU
rnacentral:rRNA from 1 species